rnacentral:lncRNA from 1 species
CAUCUACCUCCCGCUUGGUGAAAUAAAUCCUAUUUGAAACCAUCCCUAAGGAGCCCUUCACAAUAAAAUACAGCCUCACUCUCUGGAUCUUCAUAUGUCUUUCUUCCCUGCUCUGUGCCCUCACUUUGGAAACCAAUCUCUUCAGAGGUCAAAUCCUCUGGCUCUCUUUCUGUAGCGCUCUCAACUUCUAGACGUUUCUCCUCAGCUUUUUCAUCUAGAUCAUCUGGCUCGAAAAGUGGCGGCCCUCGACCCAGCAGUAACGGCAAAUGGAUAUACUUUUAAAUGUAAGUAUUGGGUUUCAACUCACUCGAAUAGCUAACGAUACAAAUGUUAUGAAAUCAAAGGACCUUAAAACAUAACAUUUUCACUAAAAUGAUAGGUUAAGUUACGGGACGUUAGUGCCGAUGCUAGUUAAGCUAGCUGCUCGGAGCUGCUGUACCAUGCAGCUUUGCUGCCGGCAUCCGACCUAAGUUAGCCUUUGAAAGGAAAACUUUUAAGACCUUAACUUUCAAACCUAAGAGUUGUAAAUGUUGAUUUAUAUUUUACAUAGAUUGUGGCGAUUGCAUAGAUAAUGUAUACUUCAUAUUACCCUGCUUGGUUUUCUGACCAAUAUCACUCAAAAAGUCCAGUGUAAUCGUUCGGAUUGAUUAUACAUAUUUUAUUAUUUAUAAUAUGUGCACUUAUUUUGAAACUUAAUCUGCUUUGUUUAGUGGUGUAUAGCUAAACUUGUUCUAACAUUUUGUUUUGCUUCAGGGAGAAGGAGACUGAGGCAGACGAGAGGAGAGCAGGGAGAGGAUGGACAGACUCUUCUCUCUGCUGGAGAAACUUGUUGACAAAUGAAAUGUAAAUUAAUUGAAAUAAAUAAUAUAUAUAAUGAUGAAUAUAUUGUGCAUUUAAUUUACAUGAACUAUAAAUGAAAAUGUAAUUGAUUUCAAGGUUUUAUUUUGUACAUAUAAUUUAUUAAUUUAGAAAACUACUUAUCAAUGAAUGGAAAUGAAUGAUCGAAUGCUGAUGCAUCAUCUGGGGUGGUCUCCAGAGAGUGUAUGAGAUGCCCAUCCACCGUUUAAAAUACAUUAUGCGCUGGUGAUAAAGCAUAUCUUCAAUCAAGUUUGAAAAUAAAAAAAUAAAGGGAUUAUCUCGGGUUCUGUUGUCGGGAAAAAAUGCUAAAGUAAGCCGUCAACUGCACUUAAUAACUUCUGAGAGUUGCUAGGCGACGGGAGUGGCAAAAGGUAGGGGCGUGAACUGCUGAUGACGUAAUAGGAACCAGACCGGACCGUCUCAUUUCGUAGACCGCUCGGUUCAGCUUUCGUGAAGGCUGCAUCCUCCGAAGGCUGCAGCCCCU